UUCGUUUCAAGUUCUUGUCUCAAAACUAAGGGAUCUAGCCAAGAGCAAGUGGAAAAAAACAGUAAUGCGUUAUGGAGGGCUGAACCUGUGCUUGUGGCAAAAGACCAGAACAACUUAUGAUCAG
rnacentral:rRNA from 18 species